rnacentral:lncRNA from 1 species
GAUGCUGAGGACAGAGAGGACACUGUUUCUGAAGAGAAACCAGAGUCACAUAACCAUGGGCAGAACUUAUUCCAAAGUGCCAAUUCCUCUGAUACACCAGCUCUUAAAUCAGGUGCAGUUUUCUCGAGCAGCUAAGGAUGGGUAAACCCCUUCAAGGUAGUAGUCAGUUCCAAAGAGCCAGCCGUAUCAGCGAAUUCAACACGCUCAGCUAACAUUUUAGACAGCAUGAACAAAUCAUCCAGGAAGUCCACUUCUCUUAAUCGAAUGGAAAACAAUGAAAAAUCUCCAG